rnacentral:rRNA from 1 species
ACGGGUGAGGAAUACAUCGGAAUCUACUUUUUCGUGGGGGAUAACGUAGGGAAACUUACGCUAAUACCGCAUACGACCUACGGGUGAAAGCAGGGGAUCUUCGGACCUUGCGCGAUUGAAUGAGCCGAUGUCGGAUUAGCUAGUUGGCGGGGUAAAGGCCCACCAAGGCGACGAUCCGUAGCUGGUCUGAGAGGAUGAUCAGCCACACUGGAACUGAGACACGGUCCAGACUCCUACGGGAGGCAGCAGUGGGGAAUAUUGGACAAUGGGCGCAAGCCUGAUCCAGCCAUACCGCGUGGGUGAAGAAGGCCUUCGGGUUGUAAAGCCCUUUUGUUGGGAAAGAAAUCCAGCCGGCUAAUACCUGGUUGGGAUGACGGUACCCAAAGAAUAAGCACCGGCUAACUUCGUGCCAGCAGCCGCGGUAAUACGAAGGGUGCAAGCGUUACUCGGAAUUACUGGGCGUAAAGCGUGCGUAGGUGGUCGUUUAAGUCUGUUGUGAAAGCCCUGGGCUCAACUUGGGAACUGCAGUGGAAACUGGACGACUAGAGUGUGGUAGAGGGUAGCGGAAUUCCUGGUGU